CAUGAUGAUCUCAUUGCAACUUGAACUCUCUCACUGAUCAUUUGAUGAUUAAAAAAAAAAAAA
rnacentral:snoRNA from 1 species